GACGAACGCUGGCGGCGUGCCUAACACAUGCAAGUCAACUUGAGGGAAGGAGCAAUCUGACCCGAUGGUGGCGCAAGGGUGCGUAACGCGUAAGUAACUUGCCCCAAGGUAAGGAAUAACGUCGAGAAAUCGGCGCUAAUACCUCAUAAUGCAGCGGAUCCGCAUGGAUAUGUUGUUAAAGGUUUACCGCCUUGGGAUAGGCUUGCGUCUGAUUAGCUAGUUGGUGUGGUAAUGGCACACCAAGGCUACGUUCAGUAACUGGUCUGAGAGGAUGAUCAGUCACACUGGAACUGAGACACGGUCCAGACUCCUACGGGAGGCAGCAGUGAGGAAUAUUGGGCAAAUGCACGAAAGUGUGACCCAGCAACGCCGCGUGGAGGAUGAAGGUAUUCUAUAUCGUAAACUCCUGUGAGAGCAGACGAAAGACAGAUUAUAAUUUGGAUGACUGUAUGCUCA
rnacentral:rRNA from 1 species